GGGCCAUAGCGCAGCGGCAGAGCAUUCGCCUUGCAUGCAAAAUGGUUCUGGGUUCAGUCCCCAACGGCAUCU